CCGUUUUUGUGUUAUUUGCUGGUUGUUAUAACCAAACCCAGUGAUUGUCAAACUAAACGUAGACCAAAGGCAGCUAAUCACUCCAUAAUGUUUAUUCUACUUAAGCCAGGAAUUGAGCAUUACUAAAUGUAUGCCACAAGC